CUCCUUCCCCUGCUGAGAAAAGUCAAAGGAAGGUGAACUACGAAGUGAACGUUUUUCCCCAAAGUGAUAGUAUUUUCUUGGCUCAACAGACUUGCUAUGACGACUGGGCUAUAGGGAGUUUGGAAUAUAAUGUGACCAAGACAUCCCAUCAUAGAUCAGAGCUCGCAGGGACACGUCCUGUCAGAGCUCGCAGGAGCAGGGACACGUUCCGUCAGAGCUCGCAGGGACACGUCCCAUCAGAGCUCGCAGGAGCAGGGACACGUCCCGUCAGUCAUUAAGCAUCUCACAAGGGAGAUUCAGGUCCUGCUGAACAACUUGCAAUAGGAGAUGAAGUACAUGCAGGGGCAGCUCAAUACCAGGAUAUCAUCCCUGAGCAUCCCCACAACCCUCCCAACAGUCAGCGUCCCUGCGACCAAUGCAAUGCUCCAACACCAUCUCCAAUCCCCCCCAUGGUGGGACCAUCGUGGAAUGGUGGAGUGAAUACCACAUGUGGAGAUUUCUACUGCAAGAGAAAGGAUAUCCGGAGUAGAUGUGGUGGAUCGUUCCAUAAUGACCAUCACCGAGGCCAACCCUCAGAGCCAGACUGGCAGCCGGCCGGGGGCUGAGCCUGAGACCCCUGCUGUAGCGCUUCAGAACAGUGGAGGAUGGCUCAGCUGGAUCUUCAGGAGAGGAAAGGAGAUUCAUCUAUCUGAUGAGAAAGACAACUCUAACAAGCCUGUACCGCCUCCUCCCCCGAUGGGAAUGUAUCUGGGGAACUUUGGGUCUUCCCAAAGGGGUGAAUCCUUACUCAGGAAAGCAGUCUAACAGCAGGUCUAUGGGAAAAAUAUCCCAGGAUGCUCUACUCUGAUGGGACCACCUCAACACCACCAAGCCAGCUCCCUUGACAGUUCCC
rnacentral:lncRNA from 1 species